rnacentral:lncRNA from 1 species
AUAUAUAUAUAUAUAUAUGAGAUGGUAAAAAAUAAUUAUACAUAUUUAUAAAUAUAUAUAUUUAUUAUAUAUAUAUAUAAUAUUUUAUUUAUAAAUUUGUAAUUAUUUAUUAAUAUUUCUAAAUAUAUUAUAUAUGAUGUAAUAUAUUUAUUAAAUAUAUUUAAUCUGUAUAUAAAAAUUAUAAUAAUAUAUAAAAUAUAUUAAUUAUUAUAUAUUAAUAUUAUAUAAUAAAAUAUAUUAAAUAGUUUUUCAUUUAUUUUUUUUCCUUCCAACCAAACAAGCUUCAUGGAAAACUAUUUUUUUUUCCGACAAACCAAACACUAACGACGUAAAAUUAUUUUUCCACUGAAAAUUUUUUUUCCACCGAAAAUUUUUUUUCCACAGUUUUACGUGGAACCAAACACACCCUAAAGACUUUUUGCCCAAACCACUAUCCGAAAUAGCCUUCAAUACAACUGUUCAUCGAA